GCACUUGUAACAAAGGAAAUACAGAAACCCGCAAAGAGGGCAUGCUCGGAGCCCUGGGUACUCCUGAGCCUGUAUCUAGAACAGAACGGGAGCUCUAGCUUUGUCACCUUCUGACACAAAGCAUCCUGCUGUUCCCAGAGGACAUGUCAGGACCACAGCUCUGAUGCUGAUUGCUAAGAAUUGUCCCACUGGGAGGAAGUAGAGUGUUUCUUGCCAUCUUUCAGACCCCCUGGAAGAAAAGGUCUUGUAUACAGCCCAGACGGUGCCCCCUGAGAAACUGACUUUGAGAAUGGCGGAGGCAAAACCAAAUAUUUGUGAAACUUGCAAACACACACACAUGCUUUUGCCACAAGACGACAGCAGUUCCUGUAGCGAGAGCCAAGUGCUGAGAUCCAAGGCUUUGAAAUCAGAAGUCUUGGGCUAACGUCUGCCUCUGUGCCUGCCUGUCCAGCUGUAUCACCUUACCCAUGCUGAGUAGCCCGCCUGGCCCUCAGUUUCCACCACUGUGAAAUGGGAACACCAACAACACCCGUGCACUAGGGGUGCUCUGAAGACAGAAUGGGGGAACUGACAUCAAAUACACUGUCUCUGGCGUGUGGCGGAGGCCCGAGAAAAACAA